AUCAAUCAGGAAUCAGUGCAAAUGAUGUACUCGCCAAACUCAAAUAUAAGCAAAAAUAAACAUAAAAGAGAAAAACAAAUAUAACUAAAUACAAACUAAUUAAGAAUACUGUUAAUCUCAUUUAACUUUCUUGAUUUAAUCAAAAAAAUUAUUGCAUCAAUACAUUGUCUGUUCAUUCAAUUUCUACAAGAACCAGUUUCAUGAGAAUAUUAAUUUGACGGUACUUUGAGAAUGAUAACAUAACAUUAAAUAUGGUGAAGUUUGGAAUUUGUUUAUAUUUGUGUAUACCAAACAUAACUUGUUUUUGCUUCUAUUUGAGUCGAGUGCAUGUAUCAAUCAUCAAAACAGCAAAAGUAAAAUCGAGUGUGCUGCAUGCCAGUUGUUAAAGAAAUACUAGAGUUUAUGGUACACUAAUAUCAUUUCCAAUGCAUCUACUUUAAACUAACAGAAAUGCACAUGCAUACACAUACUUUUUAAUAGUAGACAAAACAACACUAAAUGAAGUUUAACAUAUUAACC
rnacentral:lncRNA from 1 species